GCGCCAUCAUGACGCCGCCGCGUCCGCCUCCCCUCGCGCCGCCGCCGCCGCCGCGUUGACCUCCGCCACGGUGGCCGCAUCCAGCCCUAGCCGCCGCCGCCCUCACGCACUCUCCUCCCUCUCGUCUCUCCCUCUCCCUCUCCCUCUCCCCUUCACGCCGCCGCUGCCUCCGCCUCGCGCCGUCGCCAUCGUCGUCCCCGCCGCCUCCGCCUUCCCCUCGCUUUCUCCCCCAACUCUAUCCCCCUUCGCCUCACCCCCUUUGCUUUCUCCCUCGACAGGAUGACAGCCGCCGGCUGCGGCGUCGCCUCGCUCGCCUGAGGUGGACCGCGCAUCGUCUCCUCCGCCAGCAAACCACUGCUCUUUUCCCCCUCUCCUUUAGCUCUCACCGCUUCCAUUUCUUCCUCCCCAUCAGUGUUGUAUCAGCCCUGUGGUCUCGCCCCAAACCCUAGCGCUGUCAUGGCGGCGGGGUCGAGCCCCCUUGUGCCAGGUGCCGAGAAGGCGCUGGGGUAGCGGCCUGUCUCGUCCCAAUCCGUAGUGCGGCCAUGGCCGGCGGGGAUGAGCUCCUGUGCACCGGUGGCGUACAAGGUGUUGGGGCGGCAGUGAGAGGAAGGUCCAGCUUGGAGGAGCUGAGGAGGGAGACGCGGUCACGGACCGGUGGCGGUGGCCUUGGAUCCAAGCAACAGUGGCGCACAUCGCAAGCAGAGGAGAUGUUGGAGCCAGGGUCGAGAGGGACGGCAGGGGCAUUGCGGAGGUCGGCGCGAUGGAUUUCGGCCACGGCACGGCGACAACGACGUUCCCAGAUGUAUAUGUUGCUGACAAAGGGAUAGCAGCAUGCGGGUUUUCCUCAUUAUUUAUGGAUUGCUUCAAGAUCAUGGAAAAUGUACUGGAGAAACAAGAUGACCAUUCUAUUUCAUCUGGAGUUGCAUAAGCCUUACCAUGGAAACGAUAUGGCCUUAUGUUGAGGCCCAGUAUUCAAGUAAGAUAUGUUGCACAGACGUUCUCCAUGAUAUGUUCAGUUCAGCAGCUGGAGGCAGAGUUGCCACUCGUGGAGAAUAACUCUUGUGAUCUUUGCAUACAGACUACCUGUAUGUUGCUUCUAACAGGGGAAUUUGUUGGCAUUUGAAUUCGAGGUUAGACAGUGGGGUUGUGACAAAAGGUGACACACUCACACACUUUGUUUCAUUAUGGACUCCAUCAAGCAGUGUCAUGGGCCUCCAAAAUUGUUCAUACGUGACAAGUAUGACAUUAGGGGUGAGGGAGCUUGCUUGAAGAGAUACACAGACUCGUCCUUCAAUACUGGUUUUGCAUGUUCUAGGAUGCUAGAGCCAAUAACUCAAAGAGUAAGAAGACCUCUUAGAGCUAUCGUAACGAAACUGAAAAUAAUAGAUUUCUUUAGCUGAUUAUUUUUGUGGUUGUGGAUGAUUCAAUCCACUCAGACAUAGAAUCAUACCUGACCUAACCUUAAAGAUCGAGUGCUUGGCAUUUCUUUUCCAUUUCUUCUAGGAGAUUAGGCCGCCCCUGUAGAAUCCUCAGAUUUUCAGACCACCUAAUGCAGCCAACAAUGUCUCCAAGUACCCCCCCCUCUCUAUAUAUAAUCAUCUCAUACUAUCCAGUAUCCUUUCGCUUCUAUUUUCUUCCCAGAAAAACAAUAUCUUUUUUGUAGGUUGGAGAUAGAUUUGUCUAGGCACCGAUGACUGGAGUACCGACAACUAAGUGGAUCUGUGUUUCAAAGCUUCAAACCACAUACGUAGAAUCUGUACAUGAGAAUCUUCACCAGAUGAGAACCCCUGCUCCAUGAACCAUUCAGAAGUGUAGAUAUCUUUCAUUGCCUCACCUGACACAAACACUGUAGAGGACAUCAUGUAGACACUUUCAGUACCAUGUACAACGGCAAGUAAAACAAGUAUGUGUCAAUGAUUUUUGCUCAUCUCAGCUUAGUGUUAUGAGUUUUACAUGUGGAAUUUUCAGCAGAUGCUGUAGGGCAAGGUCUUCCUUUAGAAGAUUUACUGCUCUUAGGUAUUUUCUAGAGCUUUAACUUUUAGUCAUUUGUAUCAACAUUACUUAGAAAUUGUAUUUGUAUAGCAGCUAACCUGAUAUUUCAGUUCAUCGUCAAUUAGUAGAUAAAUUUCCUAAUUUGUACAAGCUAUCUUCUGUUCUAGGUUAUAGUUGCGAGCUAGAUUUUGGCAUUGUACUGCUGAUUUGCAUGCUCUCUAAUGCAAUCAAGUAUAUACGGUGCUAUCCUUCAGACAUAUACAAUGACAAUACAUAAUGAUUGUAUUGAUAUUUCAGUUCGUUGUCAAUUAGUAGGGAAAAAUGUGGUUAUGAUGUUGGAACUACUCACAAAAAGAAAAAAAUUGUGACAGUAACAAUUUCCCCUCAAUGGCAGUGCCUCCGUGGUGAGAUGGAUAUGAAUUUUUAAUAUGCCCCUGACAAAAUAAUUAUUCUACAUCAUUUUCAACGUUUAUUAUACUAGAGUACAGUGGUGCCAUCUUAGAUAUGCAAUGCCAUCACUCUGGAUGUUAAACAAGAAAUGACCGACGUUGCUCUUGGACUUUAAAUUACUCUAAUGCCAGAAUCAUAUGCAUAUAACUGGAGAACUUCAUCAAUUUCUUGCAGCUACAUAGUUUGCACCUCAGCAUGGAAAUCUUCCAAACAAAAAAAAAUGGAAGUUUUUAAACAAGGCCUAGAUUUGUAGUUUAUGCAGACACAGGAAAUGGCAUGACUAGGUCACUGUUGCAUUCUUAUUGUGAGACGUAGUCUAUGAAAUGCAGUAUUUGCCAUUAUCAUAGGUCUUCAUCUAUUUCAAUGACACAUGAAAUUUGCUCCAUGUUGAUUUGCUCAUUUCUAAUGGACAAUCUUAUGGAAACAUCAAACUUUUUGUUGCACAGGUCACAGGCAGUCCUUGGUUGUGUGCACCAUUCUGCAGGCGAAUAAGAAAAUUUUUAGUUCCUACCAUAUGUAUUGGGGUAUGCCACAAAAUUGGAAUCCAUUUAAUCGAAUCCUAAUGAUACUUUGUUAGCUAUCACUAUGUAGGAAUAAUGAUAAUAAUAAAUUUCAGGUUUGGUGGCUGAUAUGGAUAUUGAGUUUGAGUGAGAAGUGCAUGCUUUGAUUUUGUAUUCAGCGUUUCGUUUCUUUAGUUGUUUACUCGAUCACCUCUGUCAUCAAUGGACUACUUGUCUUCAUGCACCUUUAUGCCAUACAUGCAAAUAUGUAGGGUGUAGGCCUCAGGGAUAAAAAUGCAUUUAACAAUAUGGUGUAUAUGCAAGCUUAGGCAAAAUUUUCAGCUACGAACUUACUCCUUUAGCCUUCACCUAAAAAUUGCUUACUAUUAUUUUCCUGGAGUUGUCCUCAAUUUUCUCAACAUCACUCAUAUUCUAGACGCGUUAGUUACAACAAAUAAUGUGAUUACUGAGCAGGAAGUUCAAGAAUAUCGGCAUAUUUGUAGGAAAAUGAUGUCUUCAGUCCAAACUGAGAAAAUAUUAUGGGAGUCUUCUCUUAAUUGCUGCCCCAGGCAGCAAGGCAUAUGGAUAUGCCAUUAACCAACUCAAGAAUUGCACUGUAAAAUGUCAAAAACUAAAUGGAAAGUAUUUGUGUUCUUAUCAAGGUCUUUCUGUUGAGUUUUAAGGUUCAGAGUUAUGAUCCCUUGAUGGUCCAUUUGUGUUGGUUUGGAUCAACAACAUGCCAUGGGCUGCUGAUAGUAUCAUGGCGGCUCUUGGGGCCAAGGUAAUUGAAUUCUUCGCUGUAACAAUUGUUUCUCCAGUAAUGUUUUGUCCAUAUAGUAUACUUUGUAUUUCAAACCUAUCUUCUGAAAUGGGGAAAAAGAUCCAUAUUUCCACCUAGGGAAUAUAGUAGGCAUGUUCAUUUCUGAUGACAAACCUGUGAUUAGGACUAGCCAUUAGCCAUAAGUAUUUACUGACCAGAAUGUGGACAGAAAUCCUUUUUCUAUAGUUCUUGAAUUUAUACAGAUCAAGAAUAAGGAUAUUUCUAUUUCAUCUUGUAGCAAGGCAAACUUUAUGAUUUGUUCGUUGUAACCACUCUAUGAGGUAAGCAUGAUUUCGUUGACCGAUGAAGGGGGUAAACCCUGUUGUGAUUUGAAGAAAUAAAUUGGUAUAUUGAUAAUGCUAAAAGAACACUUAGUUGUGCUUGUACUUUGUUAUAGGGAACUAGAUUGAACUAGGUUUAUGUUUUGUUUUCUGGUUCGUUCAUCACUUUUUACAACCAAAAUAAUAACUAAGGUUCUUGCUCAAAUUUUUUUUUUGUUAUUCUAAUACCAGUCAAUAUAACAUCUCCAUUGUUCGAUAUUUCAGUUAUAUCUAUUAAACUACUUCUCCGAAGCUAAAUUCAAACUCAGCAUGUCACCCUAUCCUAUUUAACUGGUUUUCUUUUUUACAGCGUGAAAUAUAUGCUAUUUUGCCCAUGUAACGAAGAGUAGUUAAUUUGGGGAUCACUGAUCAGUGAUCACAUAAGCAUCUAUUUUUUCUGCUGAAAAAACAAAACAAACAUUUUUUGCGAAAGCAUUUGCUGGAUAAUCUAUCUAAUUGGUUUAUUUGAAAAACAAAACUUCCAUUCAUGGUAAAUUUCUAUUUAGGAAAAUGAGCUUAUGUUUCCUCCAAACAGGGACUUUACCCAAGUUUUUAUUGAAGGUCUUUCCAUCAAGUAUACAUUUUGAAUGACACCAUGGUUUGCUAGCCCAACUGCCUUUCUAGCUGAUAUUUGAUCAUGUAUAUCUUACAAUUGCUUUACAAAAGGCAUUAUUAUCCUCUGUAUCCAUGUUAUAAUUUGAAUCAGUUUCUUCUAAAACGGAUUGAGAUGUUUCAGAUUUCAAAAAAAGGGUCCUAAAUCCUAUCAUCAAAAUAAUACUUUUGUUGGAGAGUGUUGAAUAUUUUCAGAGUUAUUUAAUACGUAUUGCAAUAUUAUGUUUUUCUGCUAUUUCAAUCAGAAUUGAGUUGUUGGUGAUAAAUUUUACCCAAGGCUAUCAUUUCAUUUUCUAUUCUGAUAUUUCUACAUAGAUUUUCUUUAGAAAUUUGUUCGAUUAAUGCUCUUUGCUACCCUCAAAUUUAAUUUUUAAUCUUGUCAUACCAAAUACAUGAACAUGCACCUUUCAAGAAUUCGGUGUAUUCUAAGCCACACCUCUACCAUGAAGCAGAUGUCAUACGAGGAGUUUUUUGACCUACAUCUGGCACAAUCACUUAAGAGGUGCAAAUAAAAAUAUGCUCACUAUAUGAUCUUUGUUUUCUCCUUUCUUUCAGCUUUUCAGCCUUCUCUUUUGAUUCCUUCAAAUGGAUAGACAAAUUCUUCAACUCUUCCGCCUUCACCAUUUGUUCAACAAUUCUUUGAGUUUUUAAGGUCAUGUCUGAAGAAAUCAAGUUACACAUUGAUCUCCUCAGUCCAUCUCAAAUAACUUAGCUUCAGUUUCAGUGAUGAGUGUGUCCUUUAGAACAGUUGCUAGCUGGUCUCUAAUAUUGGAAAGGUGGGACUAGAGUCAUAUUUUUACAGUUGAGGAAAGCCAAGGAAAGCAGGGGCCUGACUCUUCUGACCAAGUUGUUACAUCGACCUUGCAAAGGGUAGAGUGAAGAUCUCGUCAUGAUCUCAUAUCAUCGUGCAAAUAUGCGGCGCGUCCCAACCUCUAGUCUCCUAUUACCAAUUGCAGCAGACUUGGACUAAUGGAAUUGCUUGAAGUGAAGACCAGUGAACAAAAGGCUUUACACAAAAAGAAUUGUUGACCUCUUUCGGGAUAAGGCCCGGAAGAAGCAGGGAUUGAACCAGGGCUUGUUGACACAGCAGAUAUCAAAAGCCUAUGUUAUCUCAUUUUCAGGGACCGAGCAAGGGAUGAGCGCCCUCUGAUCUAACGUCCAAACAAACAACUGCCCUUGUUACUAGAAAUAUGAAGCGUGCUAGCGCGCACUUCCUAUUAACCAAUUCACCAAUUUUAAGAUUUGUAAACAAAGAUAAUAGGAGCCGAAGUCAAUCCCUUAAAACACUCCUCCCCGAGGGGACGUUAUCGGUCGCUUCGUUCCCUUGUUUACUGAUCUCUUUUCAGGAGAUAGGUCUACCGUUGCAAACUCAUCUGCUUGUAAAUUCAUUGUGUAAAAUAACUCGUAAAUUCAUUGUGCCAGAAUUGAUCACUGAUCAGGUGUGAUCAGUCUCAUCCGUCUAAGAGACUGAUCCGGUGCGAUGAGUCUCAUCCGUGUAAUAUUUUGGAAUUCCUCUUCCAACUCGUCCCGGAAUGGGCGUUAUGGCAAAGAACAAGAAGAAAAAGAAAGAAGGAACUUGUCCAAUAGUAACAAAUGGUGCCUCCACAGGUUGACAUCUGAUCCAACCUAGUAGUAAGCAAUCCGCCAAAAGCAACCAAAAUAUUCCUUGGUGAAUCGGUCGAAAACUUGAACUACGCACAUACAUUUCUUUAAAAAAAGGUAAAGCCAAGAGAUAUAAAAACUGGUGCUAUUGCGGCUACACCUGGAGUGAGCCCACAAGAGCUUUUACUGUACCAGUUCCGAAUAUAAGAAGGGGCUCGCGGAUUUUAACAGGUUAGGCUUAAUCUACCCAAUUGGAAAUCUCUUGCAGUAGCUUUUACUAGAAAUCCAUUUCUCCCACAAAGCUCCUGUGACCUAACCAUCUAGAUAGAAGCCUCGCAAAGAGUAUAUGCCGAAAAUCCUAUGUUUGGAGUGACCAUGAACACUGCUUGAGACCCUUCUUUCGUGAGAGUUGUGAUUCCGCUUUCAUGUUUUGGAUUGAGCUUUAAGUGGAUUGGAGGCGGGCAUUUUCAUUUCAACGUAGCAGUAGGGAAAGUGAUUUCGGGGGGUUAGUACACAUGGGCAGUUGGGACAGUUACAGGUAGUUAAGUUCGGUCUUAUUCUUAUGGGCAAGUGGUCCUAGAAUCUCUCUUUCCUUCUCUAAAGUAUAGCUUUAUGAAACUAGAAUAUGAGUAAAUAUAGAAAUAGAAUAAUAAGAAUAUCAUAUAGCCGUGUAUUGGUUUUGAUCCCAGUUUUAUCCUACAUGGCGGCUGAGUCAGCGUGGGACCCACGUGGACCCACAUGUCAGCAUGCCACGUUAUCUCUUCUUUCUUCCCUUUUCUUCUCUUUUCUCUUUUAUUUUCUUCUCUUCUCUUGUGAGGGUAGGCGGAGGCGGAGGCGGAGGCGGUGGCGCACGCCGUUCAGAAUGACCGCCUCCCCGUGCGCUCCGUGCUGCAGAUGCUCUUUUCCGAGCACGGCAAGCUCAACCGCCUCGCCGAGCUCAGCGGCGGUGCCUCCUUCGGCGCGCCCAGCCUGGUAUUCGACCUCCCCGGCGCCCGCUGCCCUCCAAGCGCGAGGUGCUCGCCCAGCACCACGAGCUCCGCCGCCUCCGCGAGGACUUCGCCCGCCUCCAGGUCCAGUGCAGCGCG